UCACGUCGCAGCCUAGCAGCGGAGCAGACGGCGUAAACAAAGCAGGCAGCUAAUUAUCGGCUAACGGGGCUACAAGCUAAGCGGCUUUUUCCUUCCCCGUUUACCGGACUUUACGGUUAAAUACCUCAACCGGAAGCGGUUUUUAGGGAAGAGCUCGAGUCCCGUAGUCGUUACAUAGCCUCACGUGAGCCGCGAGACCGGAAAAGGAGCCGAAUCGACCGUCCCGUUAUUCCCCGUUAGCAUCGUUAGCAUUAGCCUCAUUAGCCCCAUUAGCUCCGGUGACUUUUCUCUCAAACCCUCCGCCGAUGGGCCUCGGUGGGUUUUUAACGGGGAACCGCGCGCUGCUGGGAUGAACCGGAGCCUCGGGAGAUGUUCAGCCUGAUGGCGAACUGCUGCGACUGGAUGAAGCGCUGGCGAGAGCCCGCCAGGAAAGUGACCCUGGUGAUGGUGGGGCUGGACAACGCCGGCAAGACGGCAACGGUGCGAGGAAUCCAGGGGGAGAACCCGCAGGACGUGGCCCCCACCGUGGGCUUCUCCAAGGUGGACCUGAAGCAGGGCCGGUUCGAGGUGACCAUCUUCGACCUGGGGGGCGGGAAGCGUAUCCGCGGCAUCUGGAAGAACUACUACUCGGAGUCGCACGGCGUGGUGUUCGUGGUGGACUCCAGCGACGCCCAGCGGCUGCAGGAGACCCGCGACGCCAUGGCCGACGUGCUGCAGCACCCCCGCAUCGCCGGCAAGCCCGUGCUGGUGCUGGCCAACAAGCAGGACCGGGACGGCGCUCUGGCCGAGGCCGACAUCAUCGAGCGUCUGUCCCUGGAGAAGCUGGUCAACGACAACAAGUGUCUCUGCCAGAUUGAGCCCUGCUCGGCGGCCCUGGGCUGUGGGAAGAAGCUGGAUAAGUCCAUCAAGAAGGGCCUGAGCUGGCUGCUGGGCAGCAUCGCCCGCGACUACGACGCCAUCGCCCUGAGAGUGCUCAACGACACGACGGAGCAGAGGGAGCGGGAGGCCCGCGACCGCAAGGAGAGGGCGGAGCGGGUCCGGAGGAUCCGGGAGGAGAGGGAGCGGCAGGAGCGUCUGGAGGCGGAGCGUGAAGGGCGGGACGUUCCGGAGGAGGAGGCGGAGCCGGAGGACUUCCAGAGUCCCUUCCAGCCAAUCGGAGACGUGGUGGCCGAGAAUGAGGAGAAGGAGAAGUCCAGACUGGGCCGUCUCCAUGACGACGGCGAGGACGACGCCCAGGAGGACGAGCAGCCACCGGACGACACCCGGCAGAGCUCCGCUGAUUCCUCUGCCGUCGAGCAAGGCGGGAAGAAGAGCGGCAAGCUGCAGCUGAAGAGGAAGCACCGGGUGGAUCCUCUGAGGGUGGAGGAGAAGGCCCCGCCCCCCCCGGAUGGUUCAUCAAGUGGAUCCAGUUUGUUGUGGUGACAGUUUUGAAGCGUCUGUUUCCAGGAGUGACGUUGUGGUUGUUGUGGUUGUUGUUUCCAGUGGGAUGGGCCACGCCCAAAGCCUCCAGGCUGCCUAAGCUGGAGCCUCUGGGGGACUCCAGACACUCGGGUGUUUCCCGCUAACGUCACCCGACACCUUCUCCCCUCCCCCUCCCCCUCCCCCCUCCCCUCCAGACUUUGACAGGAAGCCCCUCCCCCCUCUGGCCAACCGACCGCGGCCCAACGGCGACGCCCACGACGUGGUGCUUUAGAAAGCCGCCGGCCAAUCAAAAGCUCUGUUUCUCUUCUGUCUCAAGCGGGCGGCGUGUGAUUGGACGGCGGAGGACCGGGACCGAGGCGAUGACAUCACCAGGACUCCGCCCCUCUCCAAGGAUCCAGUGAUUGUGAAGCAGCAGCUUUAGAGAACUGUGGGGUUUUUUUUAAAUGUUGUACAGAGCUGGAGGCCCCGUUUCCAUGACGACCGAACGUUUAGCGCUUUUUACACUUUUCAAAAAGUUUCAUUUUCCCCCGUUUUCAUAGAAACUGAGUGGGAGCAAUUUUAAAAAGUUGCAUUUGGGAAACGACUUGGAGCAUUUUCAAAAACUUGUGCUGUCGUCUCUUUUCAUAGAAACGGAGUCGGAGCGUUUUCAUAAAGUUCCGCCUCUCCUGUUUUCAAGGACUCUGAGUGGCGGCAUUUUCCAAAAGUUGUGCUCUCACCUGUGUUCAUGGAAACGAUCUGCAUUUUCCAAAAGUUGUGCUUUCAACUGUUUCCAUGGAAACUGAGUCGGGACAUUUUCAAGAAGUUGUGCUUUCCCCAGGUUCUAAGAAGAUGGGCUUGAAGCAUUUUCAAAAAGUUACUUUCUGCUAUUUAGACAAAAAUGGAGUUUAAGAAUUUUGAAAAAGUUGUAAUUUCCCCCGUCUCCAUAGAACCUGGCUCAUUUUCAAAAUGUUUUUCCCUGUUUCCAUGGAAACUGAGUUGUAGCAUUUUCAAAAAGUUGCACUUUCACCUGUUUACAUAGAACCUCAGUUUGAUCCUUUCGAGAAAGUUACGCUUUCACCUGUUUUUUUUAUAGAAAGUGAGUUGGACCAUUUUCAAAAAGUUGCACUUUCACCUGUUACCAUAGACUGCAAGAGUGUUAUCAAAAAGUUGUGCUUUCACUUGCUUUCAUAGUAUCUGAGUUGGACCGCUUUCAAAAAGUUGCACUUUCACCCGUUGCCAUGGAAACGGGGCCGGGCCGCCAUGUUUCUUUUCUACAGAGUCGAGUUUUAUAACAACAAAUAAACAUCUUUUCAAUACGA